GCGGGCAUCGUAUAGUGGCUAUUAUAACAGCCUUCCAAGCUGUGGAGACGGGUUCGAUUCCCGUUGCCCGCUCCA
rnacentral:tRNA from 1 species